UGCUGUUCCGAUCGUCUGAUCACUGGCUUUGUGAAGCACGAUGCUUUUUAAAAAGCGCUUCAGAUAUCCUGGCUGCGACAAUAUCUUAUGGUUCAAGAAUGUAGACUAUACAUUUUAUCAGUAAAAUAGGACUAUGGUGUAUCGAUUUAGGUCUCCCGAGACCAACUGAAAAUAUGAAGCUUAAAAAGACUUUUAAAAAGCUUAGCACAAUCUGGUCAUGUCUGUUACCUUAUUUUUAACUUAUUAUUUAACAUUUUAAUCAGCCUGUGUGCUAGUGAUACUUUGUAAUGUCUACUUACUGGUGAUGCCAUUAUAAUUCUGUAUUUCAUAGGUAUGGGGGGAAAAAUCAAUGGGUUAAUUUGUGUUCUAAAACCUGCCAGCUACACUGGUACAGGCAAGCUAUACAGUUGCCUCCCCAGUGCUAGCGCAAGCUGUUCUGCUUGGUUCACAGUAGCCAAUGGAGCGUGGGUUGUUUUUUGUGUGUUGUGAGUGUGGCUGUUUUUUUCCAUAGUGCCAGAGAAGGAAUUUUAGAGCUCCAACGUUUCCUGGUAGGCUCUAGCGAAUGAUGAGUGUACAUUAUAAACAAGCCACAAAACAACCUGCACCUUCUGUGGCAAAGUUAACGAAAACUAAACAAAUAAUCUAAACAUAGCUAUGAUUGUCUAUUUUAUGUAUGUAUCUUGUCGUCACACACAGAGAAAACACUACAAAGUAGACCAAUCUCUUUAAUCUGCUGUAUGCUCUUGCAAAUAUCUCAGUAGUAAUAUCACACACACACCAACAAAUGCAGUGCAAAGUCACUGAGUUGGCAAGAACAGCAGCCAAAACGGGGCACGCCAGUAACAAAGACAAAACUAGGGUGAUGCAUAUCAAUAAUUCAAAAGAAGACUGUAUUAUUCUGGAGGGGGAGAGGUAAGCUCCUUUACCUACCUGGGAAGUGUCAUAGGGAAGGAUGGAGGAGCAGACAAAGACAUCCAAAUGAAAAUAGAAAAAGCAAGAACAGCAUUAAUCAUGCUCAAGCCUAUCUGGAACACAAAAAUCAUUUCAGCUCAAACAAAGCUUUGCAUUUGUAAUACUAAAGUAAAAUCAGUGCUGUUGUAUGGAGCAGAAACACGGAGGACAACAGAGGCAUCAAAAAACAAAUGACAAGCUUUCAUAAAUAAAUGCCUCAGAACCAUCUUAGGAAUUUAUUGGCCAAACACCAUCAGGAACGAAGACCUCUGGGAAAGAGCAGAACAAGAAAUCAUAGAAACACAAAUCAAGAGAAGAAAGUGGUGCUGGAUUGGACAUACAUGCAGAAAAACAACAACAUACAUAACCAGACAGUCACUGACUUGGAACCCACAAGACCAAGAAACAGCUGGAGGAGGUCCACUGAGGCAGAACUGAAGGAGAUUUGAUACUCCUGGAAGGAACUGGAGAAACCAGCCCAAAACAGAGCCAGGUGGAGGAUCAAAGUGGAUGACCUAUGCUCCCUAAGGAGCAAAAAGGGGUUAACCUAACGCUCUUGUAAAUUAUGGGAAUGAGUUGCACAAACAGUGGUCAGCCAGAUAAACAUUUGGACUGAGCAGGACCUGGAUACUUGACUUAGACCAGCCUCUCACAGAAUAAUCAUAUUGAUCUGCUCUCCAGUUAAUUGCAAGUGUUUUCUGACUUCCUAAAAUUCAAACAAAUCCAACUCGAUGAUGUAAAUACAUACAACGUUCACAAACUCAACGGACUCCUCCGAUAAUUCGAUGCUGCAGUGAGAAAGUCAGAUAGACCGUUCUAGGCCAAAAAAACUUUAAUAACUCUGCGCUAUGGACUUCAAAAACAUGACUUUCUUGACCGGUUCAUAAAACAAAUAUGUUUGUAACUAUAGUUCUUCCCUUGGGGGUCACAUCAUGGAGUCAAAACAGGGCAUGCAUUUAAAAAGUUGAAUCAACUUUGAAUUAUUGAAAAAUAAAUACAAAACAGAAUCUCCUUUGUAUUUUUCCAAAGUAAGUAAAUGCUUCUUACUAAAUAUUACUUUUAAAUGAAUAUAGACAUCUGUAAAGGAAACAAGCAAAUAAUGAAUGGUUCAGCUGUUUAACUCCACAAAAUGCAAUGUUGAAACAAUGGUCUUUUGUAACCCAUGUAACUCAUGAAAUCAAUGUCUGUCAUUGUCAUGUAAAUACUGAAUUUGUAAAGUACCAUUCUUAAUUUGAAAGCCAUUUGUUAUGAACUACCUGUUCUGUUACAAGGACAUGUUUCAUUGUACAUGUACAUGCUGGUAAUAAAAAAAGAAACCCUUGAAAACCACAAUGUAGGCAAGACAAAUGGGUUGUUAAAUCUUGAAUGUGUUUCUGAUGACAUCCUACAGAUGUCAGGACUGCCCAGUCCCUGACCACAUUCCGGCACCUCCUUAAGACUCACCUCUUCAAACAGCACCUGUAGAACUCCUCUGUUUGUAUCCUGGGACACUAUCACCCUUCAUUUAAAUGUGCUUUAUUUUGCUCUUAUCUGCCCCCUAUUUUACUGCAUUUAAUCCUGUGCUUCAGAAUACUGUAAUCUGCCAAGUGUUUAACCUGUAGUAUUUUGUAUUUAAUCAUAUCCUGAUGUAACUAUCACUAUUAUCUGCUGUAUUAUUGAAUUGUGGUUUGUCACACUUGAACAAAAGUUAUUGUAUUUCUUGCUCUUAUUGUAUUACUUGUAUUGUAACACUUGAAAUGUAUUUGCUUACGAUUGUAAGUCGCCCUGGAUAAGGGCGUCUGCUAAGAAAUAAAUAAUAAUAAUAAUAAUAAUAA